rnacentral:rRNA from 1 species
UUCCAGCUCCAAUAGCGUAUAUUAAAGUUGUUGUGGUUAAAAAGCUCGUAGUUGGAUCUCGGCGGACUGAGGGCGGUUUGCUUGCUAGUAUUACUGCCCUAUAGUCCGUAGUUUUGCCAGAGGUUUCGAGGUGCUCUUAAUCGAGUGUCCCGGGAUGCUGGCAGGUUUACUUUGAAAAAAUUAGAGUGUUCAAAGCGGGCUUACGCUUGAAUAUAUUAGCAUGGAAUAACACUAUAGGACUCCUGUCCUAUCUCGUUGGUCUCGGGAUGGGAGUAAUGAUUAAGAGGAACAGUUGGGGGCAUUCGUAUUUCAUUGUCAGAGGUGAAAUUCUUGGAUUUAUGAAAGACGAACUUCUGCGAAAGCAUUUGUCAAGGAUGUUUUCAUUA